GGGUUGUGAGGUUAAGCGACUAAGCGUACACGGUGGAUGCCCUGGCAGUCAGAGGCGAUGAAGGACGUGCUAAUCUGCGAAAAGCGUCGGUAAGGUGAUAUGAACCGUUAUAGCCGGCGAUGUCCGAAUGGGGAAACCCAGUGCAAUUCGUUGCACUAUCGUUAACUGAAUACAUAGGUUAACGAGGCGAACCGGGGGAACUGAAACAUCUAAGUACCCCGAGGAAAAGAAAUCAACCGAGAUUCCCCCAGUAGCGGCGAGCGAACGGGGAGCAGCCCGGAGUCUGAAUCAGCUUGUGUGUUAGUGGAAGCGUCUGGAAAGUCGCAGGGUACAGGGUGAUACUCCCGUACACUAAAACACACAGGUUGUGAACUCGAAGAGUAGGGCGGGACACGUGGUAUCCUGUCUGAAUAUGGGGGGACCAUCCUCCAAGGCUAAAUACUCCUGACUGACCGAUAGUGAACCAGUACCGUGAGGGAAAGGCGAAAAGAACCCCGGCGAGGGGAGUGAAAAAGAACCUGAAACCGUGUACGUACAAGCAGUAGGAGCCC
rnacentral:rRNA from 2 species